rnacentral:rRNA from 1 species
UACGUAGGGGGCGAGCGUUGUCCGGAAUUAUUGGGCGUAAAGCGCACGUAGGCGGAUCUUUAAGUCAGGGGUGAAAUCCUGGAGCUCAACUCCAGAACUGCCUCUGAUACUGGGGAUCUUGAGUCCGGAAGAGGUAAGUGGAACUGCGAGUGUAGAGGUGAAAUUCGUAGAUAUUCGCAAGAACACCAGUGGCGAAGGCGGCUUACUGGUCCGGUACUGACGCUGAGGUGCGAAAGCGUGGGGAGCAAACAGG